rnacentral:lncRNA from 1 species
UAGCAUGUCCCAGACUAUAGCUUUAUUUGGCUUUGAUUUGGUGAUAACGUCUCACACACUGUGUGGUGGUGACGAUAUCACUAGCGGUGGUGGCGGCGACUUGUGAUGAUGAUGGUGGGAUGUCUCAAACAAACGACGUGGUGAUGAUGAUGGCACUGGUGGUCGUGGUGGUGCUGGAGACGAGUGGUGAUGAUGGUGCGACGUCUCAAACAAAUUGUGUGAUGGUGACAAUGGCAUAGGUGGUAGUGGUGGUGGCGAACUGUGGUGAUGAUGAUGGUGUGACGUCUCAAACAAACGGCGUGGUGGUGACAAUAGCACUGGCGGUGGUGGUGGUGACUUGUGGUGAUGCCAGUGCGACGUCUCAAACAAACUUCUCGAUGGCAGUGACAUUACUGGUGGUGGUGGAGGUGGCUUGUGGUGUUGAUGGUGCGACAUCUCGAACAAGUAGCGUGGUGGUGAUGACAGCACUGAUGGCAGUGGUGGUGACCAGUGGUGAUUAUGGUGUAAUGUCUCUGUGAAACUGUGAGUUGGUGUUGGCGGCAUUGGCGGUGGCUGAGGCGGCCCAUGGUGGUGGUGAUGGUGCGAUAUUUCAGACAUACUCCGUAGCGGUGAUGAUUCCACUACCGGCGGCGGUGGUGAACUGUGGUGAUGAUGCCAUGCCUCAAGCUGGUCUUGGCCUAGACAUGAAUGCAACGCAAUACAAAAUAAUCAAAACAUGUUGAUCGGUACUCUGUCAGUUCCCAAUUAUAUAUAGCUGCAUCAAGUUUACAGAAAAAAUACUCGAACAUCUAAAAGCUUCAUAUUACAUUUAUUAAAUUCUUGAGGACAUAUGUUAUUAGAGUCAUUUAACAUAUAACACAAAGCCAAAGCAAGCCAUUCUUUGAAGCAAUGGAGUAAUAUAUAACAGUGUAAAGUAUAAGUAAUCAUAUAUCUAUCUAUGUUUACCUUGGCUUGAUGGAGUGGCCGAAUCAUUGAUCAUAAGUAUCACUAAAAUAGCACUUAUUAGGUAUACAGUCCUCAUUGUAUAGCACUUGGUGACUAAUGCCAGAGGACAAUACUACUCUUUUUUUUACUCCUUAUUUCCCCAUUUCACCUUGUUUAGGGAUCAAGAGUGUAGGUGUUUAUAUAGGAGUACCCCAAAACCUUGAGUAAGAUUUAUUAUCAAAAUUUAUUUAAUUAUAUCUAUAUCUAUAUCUAUAUCUAUAUCUAUAUCUAUAUCUAUAUCUAUAUCUAUAUCUAUAUCUAUAUCUAUAUCUAUAUCUAUAUCUAUAUCUAUAUCUAUAUCUAUAUCUAUAUCUAUAUCUAUAUCUAUAUCUAUAUCUAUCUAUCUUUGCGUACCUAACUAUCUAUCUGUCUAUAUCUAUGCUCUAUCUCUAUCGAUUUGCACCUACCUACCUAUUUAUUUAUCAUGUAUCUGGAUGGCACUAGCCUUCAAUACGCCGAUGUCUAUCUUAUGUAAUUACUUAUAGUAAGGCCCUCAAGAGUAAUUUUGUAGUGAAUAACCAAUAGCACAAGCAUAAAACCAUAAGUUUUGUACCUUGUUCGUCCACUGCCAUAAAUAUACUACUUUGUUCACCUACCACCAUAUAUAGGACCAAAUGUGACGUCUCUCGAACGUGUGAACUGUGGCUCUCAUAAUAGUAAAACAAAAUUAGGGCAACCCCAGAACAUGUUAUGAUCCUGCCAGAGAAGUAGAAAUUCAACUAUUUUCUACAACAAUCACAUACCAAUUUAGCAUUAAUAGAUCAUCUGACUAUUUAGCGGUAAGUUGGGAAUUUGUCACCAAACGAUGAUGGAAGCAAAAUGCCAACUUCCAUUUACAGAAAACUUGAUAAUAUACUGGUUCCCAAUGAACAUGGAAUACUCUAGUUUCCAAUAUAUGCACUGUCAUUGUCAAUUGCUCAUACAUGAUUUUUUUCAUUUACUAAUCACUAGUAGAUGGAUGGGUUGUAAUCCCGGUUCGGAAACCGGCCCCCUUAGUCCCGGUUUUCCCAACCGGGAUUGGGAAUUCGGGACUAAAGGUCUAGGAUUUUAGUCCCGGGUCAUGCAACUGGGAUUAAAACCCAUCUUGGGAACUCAAAAAUAAUAUAAUCCUACAGACCUCCCUCUUGCGUGUGUGAGAUUCAAACCCAAGACCUCUUAUCUCGCGCAUAUCUUCCUUACCAACUCAACUGCACACCACAUGUGACAAUGUGUUGGAUGCUCUCCCUUUCAAUUCAUUUGUGGGGGACCUUUAAUCCCGGGCCGGAGACUUUUAAUCCGGGUUGGUGGCUUUAACCAGGAUUAAAAGGUCACCCUUUAGUCCCAGUUGGUGUUUACCAACCGGGACUAAAAGUUAGAGGACCGUUACUCUGGGUUGGUAACAACCACUGGGAUUAAUGGUCCCUGCUGUAAAAGUCUGCUGCACUAUCUGUUGGGUAGGAGAUUAUAGUCCCGAUCGGUGGUUCCAACCGGAAUUAAAUCUCUAUUAGUCCUGGGUUCAGUUUAUAGCGGGACUAAAAGUUAGGAUCAAAAGUCUAUUCUCUAGUAGUGAAUAUAGCAUAAUGAGUCCAUGACAAUAUAAAAAAACUGAGUUAAAACUGCAUAUCCAUGUGCCCUGUUACUCCCACAUUUACCAAAUAGACUCGAUCGAAAUGGCACUUUAAUAUUCAUCCAGAUCUUGGUCAUGCUGCCUGAGGAGCAAUAUAUGCUCGGUGCGCUAUGUCCUGUUAGCUUCUAUUUUUAACUGCAAUGGUUAUAUGAACAUACGUCCCUACUAAAAGCUGGUGGAAAAAAAAUACUCUGUCCACUCUGUGAAAGUAUAGGGAACGAGUUACCCAUCCUGGGUGUCUCGGCUGGGUGUUAAAUAGCUGGGAACAGCCCCCAAGCAUGGCGUAUACAACAGAUGAAGAUACAUGAUCCACUUGCUAUACAAGUCUCUUGGAAUACAAGACAUGCUAGUCUAUCUUUAUCUAAACCAACAACUUGCACGCCUACAACCGAAGGCACCUAAAUACAUGGAGAGUUAACCUAAACUAGAUACAUAGUUUAACACCCUCCCUCAAUCUCAGCCAUCUACAAGGUUGAGAUUGCUUUUGAACAUCUUCAAUUUCUGGACCGGCAAAGCUUUGGUGAAACCAUGAGCAACUUGAUCAUUUGUAGAGAUGAAGCGUAUAUCCAGCAACUUCUGCGCUACUCUUUCUCUAACAAAAUGAAAGUCAAUUUCUAUAUGUUUUGUUCUUGCAUGGAAGAUUGGAUUAGCAGAAAGAUACUUUGCACCAAGGUUAUCACACCAAAGUCUAGCUGCCUUUGGAUGAGGGACUUGCAACUCAGUCAAUAGCUUCUGUAUCCACAUCAUUUCAGAUGUAGCGUUGGCCAAUGCCUUAUACUCGGCUUCAGUACUUGAACGUGAUACUGUGGCCUGCUUCCUGGCUGUCCAUGACACCAGAUUAUCACCAAGGAAUACCGCAAAGCCACCAGUUGAUCUUCUACCAUCAACACAACCCACCCAAUCAGCAUCCGAGAAGGCACUCACAAUCAUUGUUCGUGAUUUGCGAAUUCUGAGUCCAAGAUUAAUCGUCCCACAUAUAUACCUCAAUAUCCUUUUAACCAUACUAAAAUGGACAGUGGUAGGAUCAUGCAAAAACUGACAAACCUUGUUCACUGAGAAUGAAAUAUCAGGCCUUGUCAAUGUAAGAUAUUGGAGUGCAGCAACAAUACUUCUGUACCGUGUACUGUCUUUAGCUCCUAGUUUUGUUCCAUCCUUUAUACUCAGCUUUUGUGUGCUUGGAAGUGGGGUAUCAACCGGUUUGCACUUACUCAUUCCUGAAUGAGCGAGUAUAUCUUUAGCAUACCUUGUUUGUGACAGAGUCAAUCCAUCCUUAUCCCUCUUCACUUCCAUGCCCAAGAAAUAAUGAAGAUCCCCGAGAUCCUUCAAAGCAAAAUCUUUCUGUAAGUCACAAAGCAAUGUCUUUGUGACUUCAUUAGAGGAACUCGCCACAGUGAUGUCGUCUACAUAUACUAGGAUGAAUACAGUAUACCCUCCCUUGUUCAAAUAGAACAAAGAAGUAUCUGCCUUUGAGGGAACAAAGCCUAGAGAAAUCAAAUUUCCACGUAGCCGGGCAUACCAAGCACGCGGUGCCUGUUUCAAGCCAUAGAUAGCUUUGUCCAGUUUACAUACAUAGGCAGGAUGAGAUCUAUCAGCAUAGCCAGGAGGUUGAUCCAUAUAAACCUCUUCAUCAAGAAGACCAUGCAAAAUAUGAGAAACCUCUUUGCAUUCUUUAUCCUGUGUUGUUCAAAUUUUGCCAGCAACAAAACAUUUUGGUGGAUCAGGUUAGAAACAAUCAUCAGAACAUCUCUUUUACUAGGUGCUUGGUAGACGAUCUGCUUUAUGAGUGGCAAAAAAUCUUGAGUGAUAUGAGAAAAGUUAAUUUUACUCCUGAUCAUGAUUCAGUUGUUUGGAAAGUUGGAAUUGCUGGAAUUUUCAGUGUGAAAUCUGUUUAUAAUGCUAUGACAUCUGAUGAAUCUGGUCCUUCUCAUAGUAAAAUUUGGAAAAGCAAAAUACCUGCUAAAAUCAAUAUUUUCCUCUGGCUCCUUCUUAAUAAUGCGAUUUUAACGAAGGACAACUUAAUUAAAAGAAAAUGGAUUGGUGAACCAACAUGUUACUUUUGUGAUCAGGAUGAAAGUGUUUCUCAUCUCUUUUUCCAUUGUAGUACAGCUAAGGCUGUUUGGGCCAUUGUUGCUCAUUGCAUUGGUGCUAAUAAUAUCCCUAAUACUCUUAACCAAUGCUGGACAUGGUGUGAGUGUUGGUUACCUUCUGGCAAACAGUUUCAUACUUUGGGCAUAGCUGCCAUUUGCUGGGCAAUCUGGAAAACUAGAAACAAAUGUUGUUUUGAAGGAAGAAAAAUAAAAAAUCCUGCUGAGAUUAUUUGUUAUGCAUGUGCCCUCAUGACAUAUUGGGCAGGUCUGUUCCCGGAGAUGGACAAGGAGGAGCUUCAAGCUGGAGUGACUACAAUGUUGCAGAUCGCCACCAAGCUGUUACUCAAGUCAAAGAAGGGAGAUGGCACUCUAUUCCUGAAAGAGAGUCCGGAUGACAGUUCUCAGGACUGAGGUGUUUCGGGGUUUGAAAGAUGGCUUUGUGUGUGCUACCUUUUUUGGAGAAUGUAUGGUGUUGCUGUUGGUUUGGCUACCUUUUAGACUUGUGGUUUCUGGGCAAACUUUCUUAGGUUAAAACAGAAGUUGUGAGAGGCCCCGCUCUAUUCUUUCUUAGCUUUCUCGCUUUUCUGCAACAGUCUUGAAUGAACCGAUGUAUUUCCGUUGCACGUUAAUGGAAAUGGGGGUUGCCUCCGGUUCGAAAAAAAAAGAAGACCAUGCAAAAAUGCAUUUUGUACAUCCAAUUGCCUCAAAGUCCAUCCCUGAGUGACUGCAAUGGACAAGAUGAGUCUGAUUGUUGCCGCCUUAACUACCGGACUGAACGUAUUCUCAUAAUCAAUUCCAUAUCGUUGCUUAAAACCCUUUGCAACCAAACGGGCUUUGUAGCGUUCAACCGUGCCAUCUGACUUUCUAUUCACCUUGUAUACCCAUUUGCAGCCGAUCACAUUUUUACCCUGAGGCCGGGGAACAAGUCUCCAAGUCUUGUUUCUUAGUAGCGCCUGGUGCUCAGAAUCCAUCGCAGCUGCCCAUUUUGGAUCACUCAUUGCCUCUGCAAUUGACACUGGUUCCUCUGGACUGAUGACAACCUGAUUGCACCACUUGACUGUGCCAUCGGUGUAGACCUUUGGCUUGGAGAUCCCAUGCUACGACCUUGUGACAGGACGUGGCACAACAGGAAACUCACCAGCCAGUGCCGCACCGGAUUGCUGACCAGACACAACUGAUCCAGCGUGAUCCUCCUCAGAAGAAACAGUGCCGAUGCACGGAUCUGAGUGUGGCCCAGUAGACCCGUGAGCCUGAUGUUUCGGGAGAGGUCGGCGCAGAAGAUCCCGCAACAGCCGCCGUAUCCAACCCGGCACCCAUACCCUGCGUCGCAGGGGUCGAGAUUGAUCCCCCGAUAGCCGCCGACUCCCCGCCAAAUGGAUCCACCUGGGAUCGCACGCCGGUCGCUGUGCUCCCAAUCAGGGAACACAUGCGAUAUAAGCCUCCGUUGUCACCUUGAUCGCCACUGUGUGCUCCCAUGCCAGCAUCAUUUUCUUCCAGAUUUUCUCCUGCAUUCAGCACAUCUCCAAACAAACCUUGUGAAGCAUUAGUAGGUACAGAAGAGUGCACAUUUGGGUCAAGUAAAUUGUCACUCCCAUAGGUUGGGUUUAAGAGUAUAUUGGGUAGGAGUCGAAGCUCAGCUCUGAGCUGUGCACCGGCAUUAGGAUGCAUGGAAGCGAAAGGAAAUACUUGCUCAUCAAAGACUAUGUCCCGAGAGACAUAAACACGGCCUUCAGCAGGAUCUAGACACUUAAAGCCUUUGUGUAAAGUACUAUACCCAAGAAAAACACAAGGUUUAGAUCUAAACUCUAGUUUCCUUGAGUUGUAGGGACGGAGAUUAGGCCAGCAGGCACACCCGAAUGUUCUGAGAGAAGAGUAGUUAGGGUGUUUACCAAAAAGUCGAAGGAAAGGUGUAUCAUUGUUUAUGACUUUAGAUGGUAGACGAUUAAUUAGGUAAACAGCAGUAGAAAAGGCUUUAUCCUAGAACUUUAACGGCAUAGAAGAAUGAGACAGAAGUGUGAGACCCAUUUCGACAAUAUGCCUGUGUUUUCUCUCUACGGAUCCUUUUUGCUGGUGUGUGUGUGUGUGUGUGUGGACACGACACAUGAUGAUUUAUCCCGAUACGCUUAAAGAAGGAGUUGAGAGCUUUGGUACUCUCCACCCCAAUCAGUUUAGAAUUUUGCAUUCAAAUUGUCUCUCAACAAGAGAUUGAAAAUCAUGAAAGCAUUGAAAAACUUCGGACUUAUGGCGCAACAUGUAAAUCCAAACAAAUUUGCUGUGUUCAUCAAUAAAGCUGACAUAAAACUUGUGUCGUCCAACAGAUGCGGGUGCAGGACCCAGACAUGAGAGAAAAUUAAAUCUAGAGGCCUAGAUGAAACACUACUAGACCUGACAUAAGGCAAUUGAUGAGCUUUGCCUUGCUGACACGCAUUACAUACGUGAUCUUUAUUUUGACUUUUGACAAAAGAAAGCUUGUGGCGACUCAGGAUUUGCCUAACUACAGGAGUAGAGACAUGACCGAGCCUAUUAUGCCACAAUGAGAUUGAUGGACGAGCAGUGCUGAGUGCUCUCUUAUUCGGGGACAACUUAUUCGAAGAUGAUGAUCGCAGAGGAUAUAGGCCACCCUCACACUUGCCUCUGAGGAGAGUUCUCCUCGUCUCCUCCUCCUUGAUAUCGAAGUAGCUAGGAUGAAAUUCAAGAAAAACACCAUUAUCACGAGUAAGAUGAUGAACAGAUGCAAGAUUUUUAUUAGCUUUAGGAACGUGAAGAAUGUUUUUCAGAUGAAUAUUUGUGGAAGGGGAGUGCAAAAUACUAUCAACCAGUAUGUGUGAUCUCCAUACCUGAACCAUUUGCGGCAUGAACUUGAUCUCCUCCAUGGUACUUAUCCCGUACCGUCAGUCUCUCCAGAUCCCUCGUGAUAUGAUCAGUCGCACCAGUGUCCAUGUACCAGUUUGAGUCGACACCUUAGGAGUUCGUAGUUGCAGUCGAUGCUGACUUUUGUGGUGGUCCAUUGAAGUUUGCAUUGAAGCGCUUGAAGCACUUCACGACGGUGUGUCCCUCCUUCUGGCACAGCUGACAGAAAACACCAGCAAGGAAGGUAGAUCCUUGUGGACGAGCACCACCGCAUCCAUUCUUGAAGCCACGGAUGAAUCCACCACGCCCUCUGUCUCCACCAUGGCCUCCUCCACGAGGCUGGCUGUUGCGGCCUCCCUUGGCCACCAUGUUCGCAGCAGAUUGCUGCACACCGCCAUUGCGCAUCUCCAUCCUGGACUCAAAACUGGUCAACUGAGUAUAAAGCUCACCAAGUGAGAUUGGUUCAACGCGUGACGCCACCGCCGACACCACCGAGUCAUACUCCUCGCCAAGUCAAGUGAGGAUGUAGGAGAUCAACUCCUCAUCUUCUAGCUUCUUCCCGGCCGACGCCAUCAGGUCAGCCAGGGUCUUGAUUUUCUGGUAGUACUCCGCAAUCGACGAAGUGCCCUUUGUCGCCGUGGCGAGCACCAUCCGAGUGCUAAUGAUGCGCGCACGAGACUGCGACGCAGACAUAGACUCGACUUGCCAGAUAUCAACUCGCUGGAUUACAAAUAUGUAUCAAGCUAUAUAUCUAGAAGUGUACGAACACAUGAUCUUUCGCCCUGGAUUAUUGCAUACUGGUCAGUAAAGAUUUCUAUAUCACCAUUAGUUUAAUUGCAUCUCUGUUGUGUACCCCUUGUACAAGCAACUUAUGGGCUCAUGUCUUACAUAAUUUUUUAUACUGUGUGUUGGUUCAAAUGCCAAUGAGUAUUGUCCUGGUCUAAUUUAAAGUACAAGUGAUUUGCAAGAAAUAUGUUGUAAUGAAAUACUCCUAACACUCAAUUUUGUCCAGAGAUGCAACUUUCUCUCCUCACCACAUCUCAUUUCUUCUGUCAUGUUAAAUGACUGUUAUUGCCUGUUGUUAGUAUUUACAAAAUUCUUGUAGUACUAAUUAAUCAUUACAUUUUAAUAAAGCAGAGAUGACUUCUGUUCUAGUGUGCUACAGCUGUAGGUCCUUGCGAAUGGUUUUUCUGAAUGCAAGACAUUUGACAAUUUUACUGCAAUUUUUUUCUGAGUGCUGAUUGACAGUUUGUAGCACAGUAGCAGUUCUGUGGAACCUGGGGCUGCAUGUCAGCAUCACCAACAGCAGGUAGGCAAGCAAGUAGGUCGUCAUCAACAUUCAGUAAAGCUGCAGUUCUCAUCUAGUCCUCAUAUUUGUGAAAUGUGCCUUUUGCUGGUUCAAUGUAUUUGCUAGCAUGGCUGGUUAGAGAGGCAGAAAUGAAAUAAAAGCAGAGGAAAGUUAUAUUACAGAGAAAAUGAGCCCAUCGUUAUUUGUGUUUUCCAGGAACUGCAGUUUACAGAAAGAAGGAAGAGACAUUGCAUAGGAAGGUCCAAGAUGCAGACUACAGAAUCAAAAGGUAUGUACUGCCUCUAGGAACUGCAGGUUAUUUUGUGUUGUCCAGGAACUGUAAUUUUCUCCGUUCAGUAAAUCUUCAUCAUUGAUAGCUGUUGUUGCUGCUAUCUGUUCUCUCCUUCAGCAGUCAGGUUACUCAGUUUCAAAAACUUGGUGUUCAAUAUGCAGUUCAGUGUAUUGCUCAUGAGAGCAGACUUUUAGAGUUUCAGUUUAGUAAAUAAUCUGAAUUUCACUGAAUAUCAAAAAGAAGCUUCCUAUGUAGGGUAUUCUUCCUAAUGCAGCACUUGUUGCAAGCUAUCUGAAUUCUGCUCAAGUCUAUCAAGUGCCAUUAACAUGCUUCCAAAUCCUGUCAGAACAAAGUAGAACUACAACCAGGGAAGUGGCAAAUGCAUUUAUUUGUUGGAACCUAUCUUUUGUUAUUUCUGAUGCCUGGGGGUGAUGGUCCAAGCUGACGACACAGUCUGACACGCAGAUUGUCAUAACAAAGCAGCCGGACAACGCCCAGGCUUCUUCGGCUCCAAAACUCCUCGACGGUCCACAACGCACCGCUGCAAAGGCCCUCCUAGACUCUGGCACGUGUAGACCGACCAUCUCAUUAUAUAAGGGAUGUGAUCGGACCUAGGAGCGAGAGAGAGAUCAAUCACCCGACUCUGUUCCAUUCGCCUUUGCUCAGCAUCCGAAGUAAGGCAACCCACCGAGUGGCGCCAGAGGCUCCUCCUCCGCCAUCCUAUCAUCUCCUUCCUCGCUGACGAUGGGGAGACUCCACCGGCGGUGAGGCAAACCAUAGGAUUAGCACCAAGCUAACCCCUACCAAACCUCUUCUUUCUUUUACACUUUGUUAACCCCUCCAGAUUUUGGGUGCUGUUGCACAUAAGAAUCAUCAAAUGCUGGACAUAGGGACCGAAACCAGGAUAAACUGUUGCGUCUUCUCUAUGUGAUUCUUGUGUUCCUGAGUCCACCAGAGCCACCAGAGAUCCAUACUCUGACACCAAUUUGAACAGCAUGCUUGCCGUGGUUUUGACCCCACGAUAGGCGGCGCUAUGGGAGAAUAGAGAGAGAGGUGGUUUGGAAGCCCGAUAACCCUAUAUUCCAUUUUGGGCAUACUUUCUAAAAUGGGCCUCUUAGGAGGUCUGCCUCUAGAAAAAGGACACCUUUUCAAAGGCAGGCAUCGUUAUUCAAUAUUAGGAAGCAACCAUUUUUCAAAGGGUUUCCUAAAAUGAAUAGAAGUCUACAGUCCAUUUCUAGAGACGCCAUCAAAUUUUACCCAUCUCUAUAAAUAAAUAUGCUGGCCUCCAACUUGUUUUUUGUAGUUGUCGUAUGGGACGAGGACAGUUAUUAGGAGCGAGCAUAGGUUGCUUAGUGGCACACAGAAGGGCUAGCAUGGUCACAGACGAUUGAGAGCGCAGCGAUGACUGUGGGUGUCUUUGAUGAGUGAUAGUUGUAUGCGCAUGGCCGAUCGGUAAGCAUGGUGCAGCAUUGCUGCUGCCAUUGCAGACAAGCAUGGUCACAGCUGCUUCCUAACAUCAGCGAGAGGACAGCGGGGGCCUAUGGAUAGAGGGAGUCUAUGUGGCCUCAACAUGCAACAAGCGGUGCGUCAUGGCAAGCACAGAGGACACCUCUCAAAAAACACGCAACAAGCAGUUUUUUCUCUGGCUUUUGCAGCCAAAAUCAUCAUUUGUCCAUUGAGAAAUCAUUUUUGUAUUGUCUCUUCUGUUAAUCUCUUGCUGCAAUGGCAUCCUCAUUGAUGGCAAGAAGCCACUUGUGUCAGUAGUGCCCUUAGUUCAUUGUUACAUGCAUCCAUUGUUUUUCCUAGUACAAAGUAACUUUGUCGGGUGUCUGUUGCAUCCUUGGCCACUUUGCAGCACUAUUCCCUAUUCAGUUUUAGAAAUUGAUGAGUUAACUCGUUGUCUAGCGAUGUUUGUGUGCAGUGGGAACGAAUUAAAUAUAGCAUCAUGUGCAUCUAGGCAAUAAAUGACCAUGUUUAUCGUGUUUCUAUCCAACAGAUGCUUGCGUUGCAUUGCUUAACGUGGUCAGUAGCAUUCCCAUUUAGCGGAACUGGACAUGCAGUGGACAGAGGAGUGCCCCGAGACGCACGUCACCGACUGGGUUGGGGUGGGGAGCAAAAGGGAUUGGAGUGGUUGGAGGGUGAUAGGACAGGGAGCUCAGAGAAGUGGAGGUGGCGGUGCUCUAAAGGGAGAAGAGGACUACGGAGAGGAGGGGAGAGAGAACUAUUCAGAGAUGAGAGAGGACCGGCAUGGUGUGAAAAUGGAGGGUGGUGAUGUGGGAGCCCGAAACCCUAUGUUUGUUAUAGACAAGUGAUUCUAGUAAUGUGAUUUUUGGGCAUUGGACCUAUUUUCUAAAACGAACGUGUUAAGAGGUCUAUAUCUAGAAUGGACAACUUUUUCAAGGACGGGCCUUUGUCAAUUAAAUUUUGGAAGGGGUGCUUUUUUGGAGGGCCAUUGAAAAUGAAUAGACCGUCUCUUCAGUCCAGAUCGAGUCCAUUUCUGGAGAUGCCAUCAAAUUUUGCCCACCUCCAUAAUUAAAACUGCUAGUCUCCAAAAAUCUUUUUAUUAGUCGACAACAACAGUUAUGUGAGCAAGCAUAGGUGAGCAGAAUGGCACACGGAACGGCUAGCAUGGCCAUAGGCGAUUCGGAGCCAAGCAAUUGCCAAGGGUGACUUUGAGUGGCAGCUCUACAUGCAUGUCAUCUGAGGCAGAGCUUCGACAAGGUGCAGCAUUCUGCUGUCACAAGCUAAUAAUAUAGCAGUAGCUCGGUAAUACCAGCGAGAGGAUGGCAGGCCUACGGAUGGAAACGAGACUAUAUGGCCCCAACACGAAACAAGCAGGGUUUUAUUUGCUUUGGGCCGUGUUUAGUUCCUGAAGAGAAAAAUUUUACGACAAUGUAGCACUUUCGUUUGUUUGUGGUAAUUAUUGUUCAACCAUGGACUAACUAGGCUCAAAAGAUUCGUCUUAUAAAUUUCGACCAAAUUGUGUAAUUAGUUUUUAUUUUUGUCUAUAUUUAAUACUCUAUGCAUGCGUCUAAAGAUUCGAUAUGACAGGGAAUCUUGAAAAAAUUUUAGGUUUUAAGGUGAAAGUAAAAACAAGGCCAAUGGCAUCCUCAAUAAUGCCAAGAAACCACUUGUUCUAGGAAUGCCCUUAGUUCCUUGGUAGAGCAUCUCUAGGAGUUUAGUAUAAUUUACUUGAUAAACUAAUAAAUAUAGCAAGUUAAUAAAAGAAACAGCUACUUUAAAUUUUAUUCUCCUCCAACACUAACCAAUAAUAUGUUUCUAAAAUUUAAAAAUUUAUAGUAGGUUUUACAUCUAUUUGUUUUUUGUUUAGUAGAGCCGAUCAUGUCUAGGAGUGCCCUCAGUCCAUUGUUUUUGCUGGUACAAAGUAACUUUUGGUGUUGCGUGUUGCAUGCCAGCCAAGAAGCACCAUUCACUGUUCAGUUUUACAAAUGGAUGAGUACGCUCGUUGUUAGCUAUUGCGCCCAUAUAUACCCGUGAUGUUUGUGUGCAGUAGGAACGAAUUAAUACAGAAUUAACUGCAUCUAGGCAACAAAAAAUAACCAUCUUUAUUAUUUUGCCAUCAAACUGAUCUUGCGGUUAUAUACAUUGCUUAAUGUGGGCAGCAGCAUUCCCAUUUAGCCUCCUGUCCCUGGAUGUAGUAGCUGUCUUUGGUUUUGAAGCCGUUUUCCUUGCACAUCUGCUCACAGCCAGUCGGAGAUAGUUUGUUAUUGUUAGGGUAGCACGUCACUGACUUUGGCUCUGCAUGCAACAAACUCUGUGGUGGUUGUCGAGGUGGAUGCGGCGGCCCUGGCAUUGGCGGCAUUGGAGGGAGUGGAGGCAUUGGCGGCAUUGGAGGCAUUGGUGGCAUAGGAGGCAUUGGCGGCAUAGGAGGCAUUGGUGGCAUUGGAGGCAUUGGUGGCGUUGGCAUUGGCGGCGGCAUAGGCGGCCAAGGGGGAUGAUGACCGCGUACGACCUGGGGCUGCUCUACCUGCAACAAACUGUGUGGAGGUGGUCUGUGUGGGGUUGGUUGAGGUGGAUGAUGCGCCCAUGGCUUAAAAUGACCGCUUACCACCUGGGGCUGCUCAUGGCCUACACAUGCAUGAACACAGUUCAAAAUAAUCAAAACCCAUUGAUUUGUGCCGCCUCCACUUUCCUCUGACUUUGUUUUAUGUCAAUCUCUGUCAACAUCUAGAACAUCAAAUAGUUUUAAUAAUUUUUCAAUGAAUAUGUUUUAAUACUGUAUUUAUUGAACUUGAACAUGCUAAUAUUUUUUUAAAAGAACUUUAUCAAUGUUAGAGUAGUUUGACCUAGCACAAAACUAAACUAUUAUUAGAAAAAAACAAGGAGUAAUAUGUAACAAUUCGAUGUAUAAGUAUUAAUCUCUCUCUCUAUAUAUAUGUAUAUAUAUAUAUACCUUCACAUGAUGGAGAGGUUGAACACAUGAUCACAAGUAUCAGGGAAAAUAAACAUGUCAGGUAUACAUUUCUCACUGUAUUGCAUUUGAUGACCGCCAUACUAUGAGAGGACAGUACUACUAUUUCCCUUUUCUUCUCACUCUAUUUUCCUGACUCACUUUCUUUAGUGAUGAUGAGAGGUGCACUCCUUAAGCGUAUAUGUUUUUCUUCUUUUGUUGUGCAGUUGUUUAUAUAGAAGUAUGGAUCUAUUUGAAAAUUUGUUUUAUUCAUUUAUAAAUUAUUUUUAUAAUACCAAUAUCUACAUCUACCUACCUAGCUAUCUACGCGUCUGUUUAUAUAUUUAUUCUAUCAAUCUCUAUCUAUCUAUCUACACAUGUCUACUUUUUUAUUUGUAUCUAUUUGUCUAUCCCUACCUACCUACGCACCUUCCUACCUAGCUAUCUCUAUCUAUCUUUUUGUCUCUAUCUGUGUCUACCAUCACAAUUAUCAAUUUCAUUUUAUUUGUAUGUUUAUCUAUCUAUCUAGAGACAAGGAACAAUCUAUCUAUAGCCGAUGCACUCUUAGCACUUGUGCUUGAGCCACAUCAUUAAAAAUUCUAUGCAACAAACCAUCAUGUAAACAUAGACCACUACAAGAUUUAUGAUACACAACACUCAGAGUCUAUCACAGUAUCCCUAAAUUCUAUCAUAAAAGGCCAUCUUUGGUGGAAUUGCAAAGUAGCAUGUAUCAAGCGUUAUAUGUCAACUUCAAGCUAUCCAUGACAAAUUAUGACCAUCAUGGAAUCCCUAGAUGUCCACUUAGCCCAAGCUAGGCCCUAUGGUCUAUGACAUGUAGGAUGCCAUGUUGGAUGUUUGUCAAUGACAUAUUUGAGUUGCCAUUUAAGCGCCAUGUGUUCCUCAGCACGGAUGUUGUCGUGUUGUCAACGUGAAUGCAGUCCAAAUAUACUUCAUUCCAAUUAUGUCUUCCUAGAACUUUCGGCCAUUUUUUAGGCAAAACUGAACCUACAGCACAUGCAGCCUGGUAAUGUGGAUUGCUCAAUUUAGCCUGUUAUUAGAUUUGAGCUCAACUCAAAAUUACUGAUAGAUUCAAAAAAAUAUUUCCAUUGUACCUUUUCAUCCAAGUUCUAUCAUAUCAUCAUUUCAUCAACACAAGUUCUGAUCAUCAGCACAUAAUAUUUAGGGGAUACACACUCAACACCGCUGAUUGUGACUAGAUCUUUAGGAAACACAAACAUGAGUUAGAAAGAAGCUCACACCUCAUACAACAUAAUUAAAACUUGUCCAAAAGCACAUCACAGUACCCAGCAGCUACCAUGGCACUUUGGCCACUCUAGCAUCAAUGUUUGCCACACAACAAAAGAAGCUCAAUAACUCAGUAGCAGCACCACCAGAAAUGGCACUUUGCCCAAACAUCAAAGUUUACCACACAACCAAAGGGGCUCAAUAGCUCAGUGCAACAGCAGAAAUGAUGCAACAAAAAGGCAACAAUGCUGCCAUGAGACCCAGCGCAUCUUACCUAGUAUGCUAAGUGUCGCAGGGUCAAAACUGCGGUAAGCAUUGUUUGUUGGAUGUCACUGAGUUUGGGUCUGUGGUGUCUCGGUUGGACUCAAGAACACAAAAAAUACAUAAAGGACACAAACUUUAAUCCUAGUUCAGGCUCUCGGGGCCCUACAACCAGUAGUUUGAUGAUCCUUAUCCAAGAGCACCCAAAUCUAGGGGUUACAACAGAAGUAGUUUGAUGACCGUUGUAUCCAAGAGCACCCAAAUCUAGGGGUUACAACAGAGUGUAAGAGAGAUUUGGCAAGGGAUCGCUCGAUGAUUAUCCUGGGCUCAUCGGGGGUGAGGUUCCUUCCUUGCCAUAGAGGAACUAGAAAAUGGAACCAGAGGAUCUCUUGGUACUCCCCUCAGGGUGGCCUUGCUCUUGAUGCAAAGCUCGAGAUUGUCUUAAGGACUCUGGUUUGCUUUUGUUCGGCUUGGAUCAUCCUCUAUCUCUCUCUCUGUAGGAUCUGACCUUCUCUUAUAUAUUGAGGUAGGUCAGGUACAUGGCGGUUUUGAGGAGCUUAGUCUAUGGUCUACAUGCGUCGGAGUCCAUGAGCGCUCAUCUAUGGUCUAGAUAGACCUCGACGUUGUUGUGGACUUAGAGAUGCCCCGGGCCUCAUCCAACUGCUAUGCUUUGACACUCUAACCAUUAGGUUUAGUUGAGUUGAACUAGCCUCCACUAGUUGCACCUUCUAGAGGCUUCCUUGGUGGCGAAGGCGCCUGGCCAUAGGGUUUCACGAGCAGGCCCAUAAGCCUAUAAGCCCCUAGAGCCAACGGAGGGAGUUUUCCCUUUGUGUUAGGUGAUAGGUUGGUGCCCGUUGUGUGGUCUCAAGGAGCCCCUAAUCCCUGAGUGCUUGAGAUGCAUGGUUCUACCCCAACACUUGACUCAGAUUAGUUGGGAUUGAGGAUCAAUAUCAGACUACCAUAGAUCAAGAGCUCGAUGCUUGAGUGGGCACCUAAGUCUAGAGAAGAGGCCUAGGGCAUGCUCAGGUUUUGCUCAAUCCUUUGGUAGAUGGCGUGCAUGUGUGGACCCGAUGGAUGUAGCCCCCAAGCGAUCAUAUAGGGUUUGGUCAAGGGGUCCUUUGAUUAGAAACCUCUUACCCUAAUACUUCACAUACCCCUAUGUUUGAGUCUUGUUAGGAGCCCUAGAGCCCAUCAUGACCUUGCUGGUGUAGUCCACGAUGGUGACAAGGGGUCCUUCAGAGAUUUGACUAGCCAUGAUGAGGUUGGCUUCCACUAGCAAGAGUUGGGUCCCCCUUGAGGGGUUUCCAUGCAUGAUCACAGUUGGUAUAAAUUAAAUGCAAAUAAGAAAAUAUAGAUAUCUACAAACACAUAGAUAUUAUACUAUGUAGCACUUCAUCGAGAAUAACCCAGUUUUAAUAUUGAACCUAGAUGAACAAUAGGUGAGAAUACUAAGUUUCUAACAUAACCCAGGUCACAGAAUAGGGGAGGUAUACAAGAGACUACUAAGCCCUGUCUAGUUCCAAUCUCGAUAAACCUUGCCUUCUAUUGUUAUAUUGUAGGAGAUAUCUUAUAAGGAACAAAAUCAAAGUUUCUUCCCAACACGCGAUCAAGUACUUGCCAAUCCUAUCAAUGGGAGUUGUCAAUCCUAUCAAUGGUAGGUGGACUACAAAGGAUUUAAUGAAGCUAUAAGAGUCACCUUCACGAGCUACCACUGAUAUGAAAAAUAGGGGACAUUCACAAGUAACCCUAGUCUAAGCACCAUGCUUACACUAAGAAUACUACUUCAAUCAAAGAGCUAUCAACACCAAAGCACUCAAAGAGAGUUGUAAACUUGAAGAACAAUAUGAACAAACUACUUACUUGAAUCAAAAGUACUUGAACUCGUAGAGUACAAGCCAUAGAGGUAGCAUCGAUAGGCCAAAACUCCUCCAAAACUCUUCUCUCUCACUCUAUCUCUCUAUCUCUACUACAAGACUAGAUCCUAUAGAGGACUAAUCUUCUCUCGAUUGCUGGCCUAGAUCCUAGUGGAAAUAUGAAUUAGGGUUUCUGGGUCUUUAGCUCUAAAGAUUUAACUUGGCUCCCGAGGAGGUGCAGGCAUGUAUAUAUAGCCCUAGGGGUUGAAUGUGAAUCCUCAGAUCAAACCUACUUUAAGGGAUGGUAUAGAUGCAAUCCUAGGAGGCGGUGGACGAACAUUCUACAAGAUGACCAACAUCAGGGCCCAUAGGAGGUCGAGCUACCUAGGGUGGGGCCAGUCAGCCCCACCUAGCAGGGACUAAGGGUCCCCCUCUGUGGGGUACGUCCUGGAAUCUUCUAGAGUCUUCUUACGCAUGUGCCAUGAAAUUAUCCUAUGAUAUCUUUUGAUAGUUAAGUCCUUCUUGCCGGUUUUCUGAUUAAAUCCUGUUGAAAACAAAAAUGCACCAAACCGCAUGAAAAUUGUCAGUUUAAACCUCCUAUUGUAUGAUAUUGAUCCAUUUGAAUUAUUUAUGCAAGGAAGAUUGAUGAUUCUUGAUGUAUGUUAACUACCAUCAACAAUCAUUGCGCUCAACUAUUAGGACCAAGCACUGGUGGUGUGCCAUGCUACAUAAGUCUAGGGCCUAAGUGAGGUCCCAUGCGGGCUUUUCUGGUAGCCACUAGACUUUGGCCUUAGGGUGCCCUCCUUUCUGACUUUGGCCUAUCAUGGAUUUAGCUUAGGGACAUCUGAUCGCUUGGUGUGCCACACCCUUUUGGGGCUUGGUAAUAGGCCUCAGUGGCUUGGGCCAACUUUAGCAACGUUGGUCGGGGUGGGGAGCAUGCACUCAGCAUUGAUGGGUCCUUCAUUGGGCAUGCUGUUUAGUGGCCCCUGCCCCAACUCUAGGAAAAUGUUUGGGGUGUGCCAACAGGCCCAUCGGUUGAGAGCCCAAGAUUUCUAUCUGAAGUGUUGGCAUAGCCCCCCUCCACCACAAGUUUGGGGUUUUUUGUGGUCUAAAGGAGGACGAUGGGAAGAUGAAAUGACAAUGAUGGUGGUUCUAAGACGACAAUGUCUACCAUUGUAUCCUUUUGUCUAGCAAUAACAAAGUGGCCCUUGAUAGACUAUAUGUUGAACCACAUAAUCGAUUUAGUAUCCUUAAUGGGACCAAGUGAUUGGAUUGCUUAAUCUAGCCCAAUCAUCACAUGUAGUGACAAGUAUCCUAAAACUAUGAUACACAUGUGUCUAGAAAAAGGCCAUGGUACCUGAGAAAGCUUCUAAUUGAUCCUGUCAACAUGCCAAGAACCUGAAAAGCGAUCGAUCAAUUUAGACUAAUAUGUUGUUUGAUAAUUGACUUUAGGUUGAUGGUGAGCCCUAGCUGGGACUCUUGAGCUAGAUACUCGAUGUUGAGUAUCCAAGCGCCAAUCGUUCAUUAGGUCCAUAAAUUGACCAGUAGUAGGCAUCGCUACAUGUUUCACAAAAUUCCUAUUGCUCAACUGAUGGUGCCUCUAAGGAUACCAUCCGACCCAUAUUGAUAUGAGGUAUAGCCUAAAUCGAUAAAGAUCUUAAGGCCCAUUUGUAAGAUAAUUGUAUUGAUGAGCCCUAACCCUACUCUAGAAGGUACUCGAUGCACCUGACAAAAAGGUAUCCUCGAUGUGUGUUACUUGGACAAAGUUAUACUCGAUGGAUGGCAGUUUGACUAUGCCACUCUGUGACUGAUCUGCAACCCAGGUGAUGGUAUUGACUAACUGUGCUUUUACUUGAGCUACUAUAGAGGAAAGUACUUGAUCUACUCAAAGAAAAUACUUGACUAAUUGAAGGAAACAUUAGAGCCAUUCAGAUAAAGGUCCACCAAGUAGAAGUUCAAUUAUUUGAGAUAAAUUAUUAUGCUCGAUGUACAAUAACAAAGACUUUGGAUGGGUCACAAGGUGUACAAGAACAAAGACCUUCCAUGUAUAGGGAUGCCUAACAAUCGGUUUCAUUCCAAACAUGUGUUCCACCUACACCUAUGGCGGUCAAGGCUUGAGGGGCUGGUCAAUCCUGGGAAUAUGGGGUAGAAUUUUCCUAUAUGCAAGCACACCUAGAUCACCACUAGGUCAUUGACAAGGGGCGCUUCCGGUUCUGUGCGUGCUUCAAACAAUUUUGUCUUCUCCAUAUUACCAUAUCUCUAGAGUCAAUAAUUUUCUAUGAGGAACUACUGAACUCAAUCACUUGCUGCCGUUACUCAACAGUUUUCUGUUGAGGUCUAUCCCGUAGAGGUAGUCAAAUUGGACCAUGACCGGCAAGAAAGAACAAUGGGUCAUGCACGACAUGCAUGGUUGUCACACCCCAAUUUUUUUUGAUUUUGGGUUGUGCAUAGAAAACACUAAUUAAAAUAAAUUUUUUUGAUAUUUGGAUAAAACUUCUAAUGUGAGUUUAAAAUAGCAUCAAUUAGUUAUAGGAAAUAUAUCAUUCUUUAAAAUUUUCUAAAUUAAUUUGAUGGGCUUUUGUUGAUGUGCUGUGAUGCUUGCUUGCUGCUUGGCUUUGUGUUUGGCUAAAAUUUAGACUGCGUUAGUAAGUCGUUGUUUUUUUAUCCGACAUGUCUCUGUCCUUUUCUAGAAUCAAGUUUCCUCUUUCUUGAUCUUAACCUUUUUAUUUAGAGUUUUUCAUAUCCCUUUAUUCUUCUCUAAAUCAAUCUUUUGGGUAUAUCUUCCAUCAAUCAAUCUAUUAAAAUUUCUUGGGAGUUUUCCAGCUUUUUCUGAAAUUCUUUUCCACUUUUCUAUGAGCAUAAUCUAAUUUUUAGAUUCUCCAAAUUAUCUUAUCAUGAGCUCCAAAUACUUUAUUUAGACUCCUCAUAUUCUAAAGUGUCUCUAAAAAUUUUUCCCAAACUUUUGGAGCCUUCGAAGUAUUUUUCAGACCCUAAAUAUCAAUUCUGGACUUGCUGGGCACACAUAUAGUUAGCCUGGUUUUGUUCUUUAAAACCGGGUGUGACAAUGGUGGAUGCUCGAUAUAUCUAUUCAACACAUGAACUUUAAGGAGGAAGAGUAUUUUUCAGACCCUAAAUAUCAAUUCUGGACUUCCUGGGCACACAUAUAGUUAGCCCUGGUUUUGUUCUUUAAAACCAGAUGUGACAAUGGUGGAUGCUCGAUAUAUCUAUUCAACACAUGAACUUUAAGGAGGAAGAUGGAUUUGUGUGUUCAGCGAAGAACUCCAGCUCGUUUGAUUUUAUAGGUGAACCAUGAAGAUCAACUAGGUGCACGACAUGUUGAUCCACACAUCCUGCCAUCUUAGCAGAACUAAUGGUGAUGAACCCAUGGCUCCUCAAGUCAAUUUUUCAGCUUCAACUGAUUUAUCACCACGAUGAUUUACCUCGUAAGAAUAUGAAACAUCUUUUUUUUUAUAAAAGUUUGGCGCAUUUUCAUCUGAUGUGCGGCAGAACCUGAAGAAGGAAUCGGAUUUACUUUGCACCACUAUUAUAUCUACUAAACUACUUUUUUAUGGAAUCAAUCUACUCAAGAAGCAUGAAAGGAAACUAAAUAUAAUUCAGUUUGGUUCCAUGCCUGCCAUGGAGAUAAUGUGAAGAUGCAUCACGUGCUUUUACAUAGGGGCCACAUUAUUUAAUUAUUUUCUAUUACAAGAGUAACAGUCAUGUCAGGUUAGCUAGUUAAUAAUUAUUGAUUUUGGUUGAGGCCUUGUUUAGUUCCAAAAAAUUUUGCAAAAUUUUUCAGAUUCCUCGUCACAUCAAAAUCUUGCAGCACAUACAUGAAGCAUUAAAAAUAUAGGUAAAAAGUUAACUAAUUACACAGUUUGUAUGUAAUUUGCGAGACAAAUCUUUUGAGCCUACUUAGCUUAUGAUUGGACAAUAUUUGUCAAAUACAAACGAAAGUGCUACUGUUCACAUUUUACAAAUUUUUUUGCAAGAUGUUGGUCUAGUUUAGGUGGGUCCAGUCAUCCAGUGCCUGCAUGCGUGUAAAGGGCCUAACUGAUCGUGUAGGAGAUUAGAUUAGAUUUUAUUUGGAGAGUGUUUCGUCUAGGGUUCUCCCUAAGAACAGGAGUGGGUGUCUCCUCACAUCUACCCGACCAAUUCGUCCUGAUUGAGAAUUGAGUGCGAUCAAGUUUCGUCUUGGGCACGGAUUUCAGUGCAAUCCCCAUCUUCUAAUCGUGGCUCAUCGUGACUGCUGGUGGAAGAACAUUGCUAGAGUUUGGAUUAUAAUUAUUUGUAAGCCAAGCUCUUAUUUGUCUUAGUUCAACACAUGUUGAAUUAUCUACUGCUCUUUGGUCUUGACUACGGUUAACACUGGGACAAUUCUCGGGCAUCGUAGGCAUGUCCAAACCAGAUGGACCCAUUCAUCACCCCCGCCCACGAGCCGAAUGCCUUCAUCAAUAAGGAAGCCUUAAGAAGGCUCACCUAGUGGAGGCUGGUCCAUAGAGACAGCCCCUGGCGAUCAGAUGCGAAGACUCCAUGACAAGAUGAGGUCCAUCCACGCCGUAGCAUUACAUCCCUAGACCCUGGUGCACCAAGGCUAUGGAUUGUAGCUUACAAGCCACCUUGUACCUGUCCUUCGUCGGAAUAAAAGAGCAAAAUAUGCUCCCAUCGAUGUAGGAUUCGUUUGCAAACAGGCUCAGCGAGUGAGAGCUCGGCUGAGAGCUCAGCAACCGAGAGUGUUCCACCACCGGCAACCCAGUGAGAGUAAGGAGCAUUUCUCUUACUUGCCACGAAACUCGACCUCACCGUCCAUGAGCCAUAGGAUAACACCAAGCGAUCUCCUGCCAAACUCUAUAUGUCUCUUUAGUUGUAACCCCCCGAUUUGGAUGCUCUAGAAUACAGAGAACAACCCACACCUCGUCGUAGGGGCUCGAUAGCCCAAAGCAACAUACGUCAUUGUAUUCUUGUUCGUGUUUCCGAGUACCCAAGCUAUUGGAUGCCCACACUCAGUGACACCCACAAACGACGACCAGUACGAGAAAUGUGUGGUUUUUUCACGUAUUUAGUAUGACAAUAGGUCAUAAUAUGCCAUUCUAUUUUAGGCACUUCAACUUCGUGACAAUAAAUGUUGUAUGUCAUAAAAAUCAUCUUGCAACUAGUCCAACUCCAUGCAGCUAUGAUAUUUUGUACGUCACAGUGGCAUUUUUAUGUCGCAAAGGCUAAUUUACAAAUGCAUCAACCUAUAAUAGUGUAACAUUUCUGUACUUCUGUGUAAUACACUACUACAGAAUGAGGCAUUGGUCGAUGCCCAAAAUGGCCAAAAACCUCGGCCUUUUUGCGGCCCGGGGUUAAAGACCCCUUUAACACCGGUUCGUAACACGAACCGGUGCUAAAGGGUCCUGCCCAACGGCUACUGACAAGUGCUGUCGGGGCAGAGACCCUUUAGCACCGGUUCGUGUUACCAACCGGUGCUAAAGGGUCCCCUUUAGCACCGGCCAGCGCCACGGGCCGAGGCAAAGCCUUUAGCACCGGUUUUGUCCCUGAACCGGUUCUAAAGAUCCGAUUUAUAGGCUUAUAGGCCGGAUCACUCCUCCUCUCUGCCCAUUUGAAACCGAGAGCACCAUUCACCAUUGUUGUUCUUGGAGCUUCUUCUUCCUCAUUUGUUCUUCAUCUCCGACGCCCAUUGUUGAUCUUCUUCGUCUCUGUCAUCGUUUCUUCGUGUUUGGAGGUGACUAACUUUUGUCUUUCUUGUCUUUUUCAUGUUGUUUUUGGCUUGUGAUGUUCCCAUUAUUUUUAGCUCAAAUCCACGUUGUUAUUUUGAAUCAUUCACAUGAAUUAGUAUCCAUAUAUAUAUAUAUCAUAUUUCAUGGUUGACCUAGUAUUAAUGUAGUUUGCAAGAAUGAAUUAUAGUAUCUUUUUAUGAUCUUAGAAAGUAGGAUAGUUCAAAUUAAUUGGUUUGUUAAUAUCACUUGAUUUAUUUUUAUUACUACAUAAUGUCCAUUGUAUAAUUUAGAAGAUUUGUUGAAGUAACUAGACAAAUAAAGGAUAUUAUUAGGUUCUUCUUUAAUCAUACAUGUUUACUAGUAAAUGUGGAAUUUAUAAUUGUUUAAAAAUUGAGUAUGGAUAGUAGAUGGCAACCGUGACCGGGUCUUCGGUCUCUCAACGGGUUCAAAAGCGAUACCGUCCGGAACUCCCUCUCAUUACUUGUGGCAAGUGUGGGCAGAAGAUUUUGAUGGAGUACAAAGUGUCGAAAGAGAGAGUAAACAAGGGUCGUAUAUUCUACAAGUGUCCGGAUCGUAAUGUGAGUUAUUUCCAGACAUUUGCUUAUAUAUGUGCAUAUUUUUUUUAAAUGAUAUUAAUUAAAUUUUUUAUUCUCUCUUUUAAUUUCAGUGGGACGGUACCGGCGGAUGUACAGGUUGGUACUGGAAGGAAGAAUACAUUGAACACAUUAAGAAAUCUUUUGCACAGAUGGUUGAGGCUGAAGGUGGUGAGGCAGUGAGCCGACGAAAGGAGUUCAAUGAUGUUGAUCAAGCGAAUGAUCUAUCUAUUAUAGUUGGGAUCGGACGCGAACUAAUUAUGUUGCUUAAGUGCAUUUUAGUUUUGGUUUUUUUAGUUCUAGUUGCGAUUGUAUUUGUUGUAGCCAAGCUUUCCUAAAUUAAUCAACUAUGUAUCUUAGACAUGUUGUGCAAUAAGAUGAGAAACUAUAUGUGUGCAUGGUUUUCAUAAUAUAUAUGUUAUAUUUAAUGCAGAUAGUAACACGUAAUUGGAUGUAUAAUGCCGAUCGGCGCUCCGAAGAGUUCAUUAAUGGUGUGCACUAUUUCUUAAGUGUGGCCGAGACAAAUAAGAGGGACGGUUUCAUGUGCUGUCCAUGUGCCGUGUGCAAGAAUUUGACGGAAUAUUCUAACUUAAGAACUCUUCAUUCACACUUAUUAAAGUCUGGUUUCGUACCAAACUAUAUUUGUUGGACCAAACAUGGAGAAAGCAGGAUUAUAAUGGAUGAAGGUGAAGAAGAAGAAGAAGAAGAAGAAUUGGACCAUGCCAAUAUUAUUGCUCAGUACGGUGGCUUCAAUGAUGUUGCAAUGGGGGGAGAUAAUGAAGAAGAGGUAGCGGCAGAAGAUGAUCGGGGCGAUGAUGCUUUUGGUGAUGCCAUCCGUGAUGCACAAAGAGAAUGUGAAAGUGAUAAAGAGAAAGCCAAGUUCGAGCGCAUGCUAGAGGACCACAGGAAAUCGCUAUAUCCCACCGCUGAAGAGGGGCAAAAAAAGCUGGGUACGACACUAGAAUUGCUGCAAUGGAAGGCAAAGAAUGGUACAUCUGACAAGGCAUUUGGGCAGUUAUUGAAGAUUAUAAAAAAGAUGCUUCCGAAAGGCAACGAAUUGCCCACCACUACGUAUGAAGCAAAACAGGUUGUCUGCCCUUUGGGAUUAGAAAUCCAGAAGAUACACGCAUGUCCUAAUGACUGCAUCCUCUACCGUGGGGAGGAAUACGAGAAUUUGGAUGCAUAUCCAGUAUGUAAGGCAUCACGGUAUAAGAUUAGACGAGAUGAUCCUAGCGAUGUUGAGGGUGAAGAAUGUCAUAGAAAGAAAAUUCCUGCCAAGGUUAUGUGGUAUGCUCCUAUAAUACCACGAUUAAAACGUCUGUUCAGAAAUAAGGACAAUGCAAAGUUGUUGCGGUGGCAUAAAGAAGACCGUAAGAUAGACAAUAUGCUGAGACACCCUGCCGAUGGAUCCCAGUGGAGAGCGAUAGACAGAGAAUUCCCAGAUUUUGCAGAUGAUGCUAGAAACUUGCGGUUCGCCUUAAGUACAGAUGGUAUGAAUCCUUUCGGUGAGCAGAGCAGUAGUCACAGCACUUGGCCAGUUACUCUAUGUAUCUACAACCUUCCUCCAUGGCUAUGCAUGAAGCGGAAGUUUAUUAUGAUGCCGGUGCUUAUCCAAGGACCGAAGCAACCUGGCAAUGACAUAGAUGUCUACCUAAGGCCAUUAGUUGAGGAACUUCAACUUUUAUGGAGCAAACCAGGAGUUCGCGUGUGGGAUGAGUACAAACAAGAGCACUUUGACCUGCGAGCAUUGCUGUUUGUAACAAUCAAUGAUUGGCCAGCUCUGAGUAAUCUUUUAGGCCAGUCAAACAAGGGAUAUAAUGCAUGCACACAUUGUUAUGAAGACCUUGACUGUGUAUUUUUGAAAAAAUGUCGAAAGGUCGUGUACCUUGGCCACCGUCGGUUUCUUCCUGUGAACCACCCCGUACGAAAGAAAGGCAAGAAUUUUAAAGGCAAGGCAGACCACCGGACCAAACCUCUCAAUCGAACCGAGGAUGAUGUACUCGAAAUGGUCAAGGAUAUAAAAGUGGUAUUUGGAAAGGGACGAGGCAGCGAACCUAUUCCCAAGGAUGCUAAGGGAUACGUACCCAUGUGGAUGAAGAAAUCAAUAUUUUGGGAGCUACCUUACUGGAAUGUCCUAGAGGUCCGCAACGCGAUCGACGUGAUGCACCUGACAAAGAAUCUUUGUGUGAACUUGCUCGGAUUCAUGGGUGUCUACGGGAAGUCUAAGGAUUCACUUGAAGCACGACAAGACUUGCAGCGCAUGAAAGAACGAGACAACCUGCAUCCAGAAAAGACAGAUGAUGGACGUCAUUACUUAAGCCCUGCUAGCUACACUCUGAGCAAAGAAGAGAAGGAAAGCAUGUUUGAAUGUCUUAGCAGCAUGAAGGUCCCAUCUGGAUUCUCCUCCAAUAUCAAGGGAAUAAUUAAUGUGCGAGAGAAGAAAUUCCUGAACUUGAAGUCCCAUGACUGUCACGUUCUAAUGACGCAAUUGCUGCCGGUCGUUUUAAGAGGAAUUUUACCUCCACACGUACGUCUAGCCACCGUAAAUCUAUGUGCAUUCCUCAAUGCAAUUUCUCAGAAGGCAAUCAAUCCAAAGCAACUAGCUACUCUGCAGAAUGAUGUCGUUCAAUGUCUCAUCAGCUUUGAGUUGGUGUUCCCUCCAUCCUUCUUCGAUAUCAUGACACACCUCCUAGUUCAUCUCGUCAAAGAGAUUCGUAUUUUCGGUCCUGUGUUCCUACACAACAUGUUCCCCUUCGAGAGAUUCAUGGGUGUCCAAAAGAAAUAUGUCCAUAGUCGUUCCCGGCCAGAAGGAAGCAUUGCCAAGGGCUACGGAACAGAGGAGGUCAUAGAGUUCUGUGUUGACUUUAUUCCAGACCUUGACCCAAUUGGCAUUCCUGAAUCUCGACACGAGGGCAGACUCAGCGAAAAGGGAACACUUGGGAAGAAAACAUACAUUGGUACGAGAGACGAUUACUUCAAUAAAGCACACUACACAGUUCUCCAGAACUCCUCAUUAGUGGAACUAUAUGUUGAGGUACACAAAGAUUUCCUACGGUCCCAGUGGCCCGGGAAGAAUGAAGCUUGGAUAAUGCGUCAGCACAUGGAAACUUUUGGCGAUUGGUUGCGCAAAAAAUGUCAAGGUGAUGAAAACAUUGAUGAGCAGCUUUAUUUGUUGGCCAGGCAACCAUCAUGGCAUGUCCUCACGUACAAAGGGUACGAGAUAAAUUGUAACACAUUUUACACAGUUGGCCAAGAUAAAAGGAGCACCAACCAAAAUAGUGGUGUACGCGUGGAUGCCACAGAUCCAAAUGGGAACAGACAAACAUAUUAUGGACGCAGAGAAGACAUAUGGGAACUAGUCUAUGCAGCUAAUUUUAAAGUUCCUUUGUUUCGGUGUCAAUGGGUGAAGAUGACCGGAGGUGGGGUAACAGUCGACAAGGAGUAUGGGAUGACAACCGUGGACCUUAACAAUAGUGGGUUCAAAGACGAACCAUUCGUCCUUGCUGUAGACGUGAGUCAGGUGUUCUAUGUCAAAGAUAUGUCUACGAAAUCAAAGAGAGGAAAAAAUAAUGACCACUCAAUCAUCAAUGAGCCAAAGCGCCACAUUGUCCUUUCUGGGAAAAGAAACAUUGUCGGAAUUGAGGACAAGUCAGACUUGUCAGGCGAUUACGAAAGGGAUGAUCGAAUUCCGCCCUUCAUAGUCAACAAAGACCCAAGCAUUCUGUUAAACAAUGAGGAUACUCCAUGGUUACGGCAGGACCAUAUUUUUUUUUAUUAUACUUCUAACUUCUUUAAUUACAUGUAUAUAAUCCUUACACACUUAGGAUUUGUAUGUAUAUAUGCAGGCACCAAAUGAGAGAGCUCAGAAUGAGAAAUGACAAUAGUAUUGGGUUCGUUGACCCUUAUAUUAUUUUCAAGGCUCCGCGGGCAGUGUGGACAGCAGCUCAUGAGACAGAAAUCUGCACCAAUCUUAUGAGGUUCUUUGUGAACCAAAAAGAAAAACAAAAAAUACUCUUCCCCUUCAACUUUGAGUGAGUUAUAUAGUUAUUAAGUGCAUGCAUAUUUUAUUUUACAUUAUAGGACUUACUAUAUAUAUAUGUGUAAACAGUUUUCACUGGAUACUCAUAGUCAUUGAAAUUCCCAAGAACCGGUUGAUAAUCUUUCACUCCAUGAGAAAACCACAAGAAAAUUAUCAACAAAUGGUAAACAUUAUUCAAAGGUACGUAAUGUCGAUCUCCGCUAGAAGAAUAUCAUAAUAUGACUCUGUAAUUAUUAGUUCACGAUCCACAAUGGCUGUGUGUAGGGUUUGGGAAAGAUUCAUUGACCGUGAACAUCUCAGUGGAUGUAAAGCGCCGCUUAACAUAAUACAUCCACAAGUAAGUUCUACUAGCUAGCAAACUUUCGCUAACUUUUAGCCUUCUUAUUGUCGUGGUCGUGAAUAUUUUUUAUAUAUAUAUCGUAUAGUGGUGUUUAAGACAAGAAGGGGGGAACAAUCUAUGUGCAUAUUACGUGUGCAAAUUCAUGAUGGCACAAGUCAAUCAAACACCCACAGAGACGCUCAGAGUACGUUACAUGUCUCUUUUCAUUAUCUCUGAAUUAUAUUGAAUAACUUAGAUAACUAAUACCUUUUUUAUGUUGAGGGAAAAGGUCCUACAACAAGACCGAAUCAAAGCUAUCCAAGAGACGAUAGCAGGAUUUCUCCGCGAUCAAGUGAUCAAUCCAAACGGCGAGUUUCACUUCAACGGCAACGAAACUCUUAUUCCAAACAACGAUGAUCAUUUGUAUCGUUUGUAGACAUCAUUGGGAGAAAAAACUCUAUGUAUAUAUGUGUUACGAAUUUUGUACAUAUAAAACUAUAUAUAUAAAGCUUUUUACUUAUCUAUUUAAUUUUUGAUGUGGCCUAUUCAUUUUAUUAUAGGCAAAGCUUAAUUAUUAAGCUAAGCCUAUAAUUUUCAUUUAUAUAUGCUUAAUAUGCGUGUAAUAUAAGUAUAUUAUUGUAUCAGAAAAACAUGUAUUGAAAAACCUAUUAUUAUAUAUUAUAUACAAACAAUAAACAGAACCGAAGAAGUGAAAAAAAAAAAGAAAUCCUUUAACACCGGUUGGUAAUACCAACUGGUGUUAAAGGGUCCUACAACGUGGCAGUCCUGGCAGGACCCUUUAACACCGGUAGCCCCGGUUCCCCGAACCGGGACUAAAGGGUGGGCCUUUAGUCCCGGAAGGGCAGCACCGGCUCAGGAACCGAGGCAACAGACCCUUCCCGACCGGUGCUAAUGCCCGAACGUGUGGCAGUGAUAGUAAAAUUCCAACUUUUUAAAAACUCUUGUUUGAAUGUGUGUUGCCUGUAAAUAUUAGGUCAAACUCAAGUCAAAUGUGUUCCCUUUCUGCCCCAAAUUCAAAAUCCGAGCUUCAAAAACUUUUUACAACGAACCACUUGCCGUGACGUUGGCCAGGACAAGUCAACAACAUAGCAAGGGGAGUUUUGAAAUAAUAUAUUUUCUAGAUAAAUUAAAACCACACUCGAAUUCAACAUGCAACCCAGACUCAUCAUUCAUUAUUUUCCUAAAACAAAACCCCCCCACAACUCUCACCCAUCUCCUUCAAAUCGAGCUUACAAUGAAACAAGCACCAUGUCUAGUUAAGCUUUCACGAGUGUUUGGUUCUUUUGUCGUGCUUGGAGCCCUCUCCCAAAAAAAAAUAAUAAUAAAAUCCCUUGACCAAUAUAGGAAAACCUUUUCCUUAGCCUGAUUCCAUCAUGGCCCAAGUCGCUCCCUCCUAGACCUGCCCUGGCCUUCCAUUGCCACCAGACCCAGCCGGCCUGCUUCCCCGGUGCAGCCCAACCCGGCGCCUCUCCUUCCUCACCAUCCGGCCCAAGCCGCGCCACGGCCCAGCAGCUAACCAGGCCCGCCUCCAUCACCAGCCCAGCUCCUCUCCGCCUCACGAGCGCGGCACGUGCACGGAGCAACCCGUGCAUGCUUUUGCUCCUGCACGGUUUCUCGCCUCUGGGACCCGCGCGUCAGCCUCAUGUGGAGAAAAAGACAAGCCGUGGAUGUCGUUUCAUUCCGUCGGGGCGCCGUCUUCUCCUUUUUCCGUCGGGGUUAAUUUUAUUCUUCUACCUUUUUAGCGAACUUUGCUUCGAGGUCUAUAAAUUAAAAAAAUAUACAGGUGAGAGGUUUUCAUCUCAUUUCUCCGAAGGAAGUUGGUGACAAAAGAUUAGAUAAUAAAUAUCUCUGAACAAUCAUACUUGUUUUGUAUUGAUUAUAAUUAAUUCACUGGUGGAUCGGUUCUCUUUGGAUUCUACGUAUGCAAGUUCGAGAGAGAACAGAUGAUACAUCAGUAACCCUUCUAUAGUAAUAUAUAGUACAUCAAUUGUAAUAAAUAUAUGAUGUUUAUAAUCUUUCUUUCUAGAAAUAUGAUGUAAAAAAAGCGAAGCACAUGACCCGCGGUGCUUUAUACAACAAAGUGAAGGACCUGUGCAUAUUCAUCUUGAAAGAAGUCAUUCUAUAAAAAGGGAAAUAUCACGAUGCUACUAACGUUUUAGCAGAGCCAAACUAUAGAGUGCUAACAGAUAUUAGUAGGCUAAACCUUAUCAAGAUGAUUAUUAGAGCAGAGGUGGAAACUUUGAUGUAUAUAUGUUAACUUUAAGUUUGCGAGCACAAACUUUGAUGUGCAUAAAUAUGAUAUAAUUAAAUUGUAUGUUGCUAUAGUUGACAUGAUCCAAUAGACUUUACUAGUUUUAAUAUCAAUAUAUAUAUAUAAUAGGGUUUGGUGGAAAAUUUUAAAAAAAAUGCGGGAAAAUUUGAAAAAAUUAUUUAGUGGAAAUCGAUGUCCUCUAACAAUUAGCUUAAGAGAAGUGCCUAAAAUCUAUUUCCACUGGCGAUUGUCUUAGCAAACCCCUAGCACCAGUGGAAAUAGAUUUUUCAUAAGCGGUUCUCAGUUAACCGCGAGUGGAAAGAUCCAUUUCCACUGGGCCGCUAGCUCUUGCGGUUUAAGAAAUACGUGUAGAAAUGACUUACGAACCGCUUGUACAAAGCUUCAUUAUACUAGAACCCACCACAAAUAAUUUCUACGAUGCUACUGCACACCAGACAAACAUGUCUAGGCUGUCUCCAACAGGAGACUCAUUUGGGAACCCAAACCUAAAAUGGGUCUCCAACACAAUACCUAUAGUACCCAUACAGAAGACCUAUUUUGGGUAUCAGGAGAGGCAUAACCUAAAUUUGAGUAUCCUCUCUCCUCGAGACCCAUUUGCAGAUAGUGUUGUCUUUUAGGUCUUGUUGUUGGAGAAGACUAAAAAUAGGUAUGGAACCUUUUACCUGUAGUACUACCCAAAAGAACAAAUGGAUCUUGUAUUUUGGGUAAUAAUUGUUGGAGAUAGUAAAUAGGACGGAUCCCCACUAAUGGAUUCUCCUAGCUUCUCAGCCGACCACGUCACGAACCACCACAAAUGAUUUCCACGAUGCAGCUGCACACCAGAUGAAUUAUAAAUGCAUGCAGUUACUAAAAUAAUUAUCUAGUGGUAAUCAAUUUUCACUAGCAGUUGCCUUAAGAGAAUCGCUUAUGAAAAUCUAUUUUCACUAACGGUUAAUUAUCUUACCAAACCGCCAGUGGAAAUCGAUUUCCACAGACGGUUCUCAGUUAAUUGCUAGUGGAAAGAUCUAUUUCCACUGGCCACUAGCGCUGGUGGUUUAGAGAAAUACAUGUAGAAAUGACUUACGAACAGCCUGUACAGAGCUUUAUUGUACUAGAGCCCACCAUAAACUGUUUCCACAAUGUAGCCUAAUUAAUUUGUCAUUAGCAACAUAUUAUCGUAACACCAUAUUAUCAAAUCAUAGAUUAAUUAGACUUAAAAAUUUUAUCUUGCAAAUUAUUCGUAAUAUGUGUAAUUAAUUAUUUUUUAGUCUAUAUAUUUAAUGUGUCUAAAUAUCCGAUAUGAUAAAAAAACGAAUGGUUCAGUACUGCGUCUUUGGUUCCUCCGCCACCAGCCCACGACAAAUGUAGAAACUGAACCAUCCCUGCCUUCAUUUUAAAUGUGUACUGCUAUGUGCUAUCGUCGUCUUGGCAGCACGUCCACCAGGAGAACCACUUCUUCCUCUUCGCAGAUCGCAAUGGUGGUCACUGUGGCAGCAGCCCUGGCGUGGCAGAGAAGGAUGAGACGCUCACGGAGGCCCCUCGCGUCUGGUCAUGUUCGCGGAGUCAGCGGCUUAAGGCAACUUGCUGCCAGCGAUCGAUGCUCGCGGUUUGUGGAGCUUGCAGAGGCCCCUCGCUGCCGGCGGCGCUCCUGUGCUCUUCUCCAAUAGGUCUGCGUCAUCCUUCUUAACUCAGUUUCGACCUCGGUUUCUUCCAUCCAACUCUCUCUCAUACCUAUGAAAGCUUUUCUAACUCUCAGAUUCACAAGAGCGCUGUGCUGAAUCCAUGGCUGGGGCAGCCUACUAGGACAGAUCAUCCAUGGUGGACACAAUAGAUCCAUGGCGGGGUGAGCUAGACUACGACGCGCAUGUGGAUGAGGCAGUGAAGACAAAUGUAUCCAUGUUCUGUAAAAAAAGUUUCUGUGUACUGUACAAUAAAUCUAUACUCCCUCACUCUCUUUUUAAUUGUCAGUUACGCUUUCAAAAAACAACUACCGACAAUUAUAUAUUAAAAAAUAUUAAUAUUUAUAAUACAUAAUUAGUAUCAUUAGAAAGAUUUUGAAUCUAGUUUUUUAACAAAUUUAUUUGAAGAUACAAAUGUUACAUGUAUUUAUACAAAUCGAGUCAAACUUGUGGCACGCACACCAACGACGACAAUUAAAAAGAGACAGAGAGAGUAUGUACGGCCUUAUUUCCAAAAAAAUUUUGGAAAACGACACUUUAACACUUUUGUUUUUAUUUGACAAACAUUGUCCAAUCACGGAGUAACUAGUCUUAAAAGAUUCGUCACACGAUAGGCAAACUGUACAACUAGUUUUUAUUUUUAUCUAUAUUUAAUGCUCCAUGCAUGUGCCGCAAGAUUCGAUGUGACGAAGAAUUUUGAAAAGUUUUUGGUUUUUUGGGUGAACUAAACAAGGCCUAACUUAUGGAUGUCAAGUCAAUGAUGGUGUUUUCUUUUUCUCCUGCUUACAAGAAUCCAGUACAAGAAUUUAUUCUAUUUUUUUAGUUUAGCGCAUUUCGUUUUUCUCCUGCUUCCUAGAAUCCUAUAUUUUUGUAUUUUCAAUAGCAGUAUCUAGUUUUAGUUGUCUGUUUGCGAUCUAUUACAAAUCAAAGUAUUAUUAAUUAAUACUCAUAAUUAUUUUCAUAUGUCUAAAGUAACUAGAUAGAUGUUCAGUCAUAUUAUUCCUCAUAAGGCUGUCUUCAUAUCCUGGUUUAAGAAGUGUUUACUAUCUACCAUUUUAUAACUUUCAUAUUUCCUUCUGAACUUUGUAUAUGUAUGUAAUACCCGAUUUUAAGGACAAAACCAGAUAUACACUAUAUAUGAGUUUUGGAAAUCAAUUCUCAUAUAUAGCUACAAAUAAGGGGUAAUAUCAAAAGACAAUGCAUAAAUAUAUAACGUACUUAGUAUAAAAGAGAUAACCUUUGAUAACAAACAGCGGAUAGACAACUCCAAACUUCGGGUAUUAACUUCUCUCUACAGGAUCCAACUGACUGGUUGAUCACAAGCCUAAACUUCUCCUGAGGUUUGGGGGAAAUAGCAAGAGUGAGUCCAUGUCGAACUCCACAAGUAUAGCAACUAGAUUGUAUAGCUCCCACAAUCUCAUGAUCAAUGUGACAUAAAUAAUGUAAAGCAUUAAAUAAUAAAUAAUGAGCAUAUUAACACACAAGAAUCAUCAUCGUCGCAGCAAGAAUCCUCAAGGCCGCUCCUGACCGUGAGCUCGGCUAGUAUACUAGUUUUUAACCCUCUGCAGAGGUUGCACAUCUUUACCCAUGAGUCAUGAUUUACCCUUUCGCCCGAGGUGAUCAGCCUCUUAACCCACUUCCAAGGAAGGUCGGCAGGGAUCACUAUGAAGCCUUUCAAAAGUUCGUCUAACAUGUUAGGGCCGCAAGGUUUCCUUUGCGAGCAGAUAUAGAUACCCCCCUUCCGAAUGGCACAAUGACGCGCAGCCUAUACACAUAGGGACAGGGGCUCGCACUAUACCCGUGUCGGUUCAGCCCCUCCGCCCUUUCGGGUAACCUCUAACAAGCUAGAAAAGUUCUUCAUACUGAGCUAAAGCCAGAGCCAUUAUAGCCCUCAUGGUUGCACUGUUGUCCCGGUUAUCACUUACAGAUAAAUCAUCAAGUGGCUAAAAAGUCAUUUUUAUCAUUUAUUACUUAACAUUAAUCUAGUCACACGAUCAUGGUCACAGAAUAUAAAAUCCAAAUGCUAUACUUGCCUUAAUCCAAUUGCUCUUGUUGUUCUUGCUAGUUGUCCAAAUGCUGAUCUUGAUCACUGAAGCACUCUUAUUCACCACGAAUUGUUCACCAUCUAUUCUCGAUCAUCGAUCAUCAACACACAAACAAUCGAAACCAAACAUACAUGAAGCAAACAAAGCUACAAUUAGAACAGACACCAAACAAUAGCAAAAUAGUAAGAAACGUUUAUAAAAUGGUUUUACGCGUCACUACGAUCACAAAAACGUGAGAAGCACUCUAAUUGGAGCUACGACGAAAGAGAAAUGACUAUUUUAAAAUUUACAUGCUUCGUUGAUUUCAAUAGUUAUAUAAAAUAUCUAUAAGAUACUUUAGAGAAAUACCUAGAUUAAAUUAAAUUAAAUUAAAUUAAAUUAUAUUUGAAUUAGAAAAUCAAGUUAAAACUAAUAAUAUUUUAUUUAUAAAUGUGGUUGUAUAAAUUAAGCAAAUUAAUCUCUAAUUUUAUAAAAAGAAGUAACGUGUGGAAAUCUAUUGGAAUUGUGUAUGAUCAUGUUCAAGCUAAGUAAUUAAGGUUGAGAAACAUGAUUAUGUUAGUAACUAAUUAUAUUAAUGAUUACCAAAGUUCGACACCUAUAUGGCUUUUAGUUAUAAAACUAUAGUUGUAUGCAUAUUAAUCAAAUUAAUAUUUAAUUAUAAGUAUUCGGCAUGGGAACCUUUGCUUCUAGAUAGAAGAUUACAUUACUAAGCUUACAAACUUAUCAUCCUUGGCACUUGCUAACGUGUAUUAUUGGCAUUCAUGCACGUACGGUGCUAUUCGCUUGAAGGUUUGCAUCUGUUGUAGGAGGAAAAUAAAAGACGAAAAGCAAAGCAGGCGGCUUGCCAGAAACAGCAGGUCAGCUGCAGCUAUGGCCAACUGUCACACAAACACGGUCAGCGGUUCUAUCCACGGCAGAAGGCAUCGUAGGGAGGGAGGAGUAGGCAGCCUAUGACGUAUUGGAGAGAGCUGGCUGCUGGAGGUUGGGUCGUCUAACAACAAGAUCAGUGAUAACGCCGAGCUAGAACUAAGAAACGGAAUUACGAAGACAGAAAGUUCCUCACCGGGCAGGGAUAGAAGGGGUGGAUCGCUGGUGACGGCGAGAGAAAAAAAAAACAACGACGUCGGGUCUUCACGUGGAGAAAAGUAGAUUAGGCUUUCUGUAGCCACGGAAGCGCCGGUUGAUUCCGAGAAGACGAACAAUGGCAACUCGUACCGCACGGCCAUCAACGCCAUAUAUGAAGACUUCUUAUACGAGGACUUCUCCAGGGUAGUUUUGGUAUGCUUAACUCAAGGAAUUGGUACGUAUAUAUAGGGAGAAAAACUCCUCACCUCCAUGUCACUAGCGAUAUGGUACUAAUCAAUGUUACACACUUCAUCUUUAUUAGUAGGCCUAGUUAAUUAUUAAAGCCCUCUAGUAAAUAAAUAUAUGGGCCUAUGAGAUCAUGGGUUGAGCGUUGGGGUAAAAUGAAAGAUUUAUUAAUUUCGAAAUUAAUUAUUUUUGUAAAUAAAAUAUUUCUAGAAAUGUCUAGAAUUAUUAUUUAAGUCAUGAAAAAUAUUUCGAAAGCUCUGAAAAUUCGAAGAAAAUUCUCAGAGACACUAUGAAACAUGAGACACUCAAAUAAAGUAUUUGAAACUCAUGAUAAGAUUAUUUGGAGCAUCUCAAAAUUAGAUUAUGCUCACAGUCAAAUGGGAACAAGUUCCAGAAAAGUGCUGAAAUAAUUCCUGGUAAGUUUUUAGAGAUUGAUUGAUGGACGAGGAACUAAAAGAAGUGCUUUGAGUGAUAAAGAAAAUAUUUUAGGAAGGUCCUAAUAAAAAUUUGAGCUUAGAAACAAGGAAUUUGGUUGUAGAUAAAAGAUAAAUAUGUGCCGAAUAAGGAAGAUCGAUCUACUAAACGUAUUUUAAAUAUUUUUCUUACUAUCAACACAUAAAGGAGCAACAAGCAUCACAUCAAAACAUAUGCACCAGCAUGUAUGCAUAAUAAUAUUGCUAAGCCUUAUGAUAAUUUUUAAUUUAAUGAAAAAUAUUAUUUUUCCUAUAUUUUCAUGAGCACAAAAAUACAAAUUAAAUAAUUUUAUCUAUAUUUCAAAAGGAGUAAAUUUUAGGGUGUUACAAAUCUACCCCCCUUAAGAUGAAUCUCGUCCUCGAGAUUCGGAAGACGGUUAUCAAAGAGACGUAGAUUUUGAAUCUUGUUCACUUUCUUGAGUAAUUAUAUCUUCAUAGCAUUGAUUCCACUCUCUUACUCCAAGUAGCCUCUCAAGUAUUCCUAAAAUAUUGACGAGACACCUAGUGUAGCAGGUACGAUCCUUCUUUAAACUUAUUUCUCCUAUCCUUUUUAGACGCUACACAUCAUAUAGUCUUUUAAAUUAGCUGUACCGAGUCUCUUGAUCCAAGGUUAGUUUCAUCACUAAGUUCCAAUUAUCGGUACCUUUAUUACAGUUAAGUUGCUUCACUCUCACACUAUACAUACAACUCUGUAGACUUUGGUGUCAUCUGAUCCUCAUACACAACUCUUAAUCCAUGAGUAUCAGUAAUGACAUAAACCUCCAUUGGUAUUAGCACACUCCAAAUAGAAUGAUAUCUUGAAACAAACCAACAUACCAAGCACUUGAUGUCCUUGUAGAUGUUCGAGUUAUUAACCACUUCUUCUCCUUGUAGUUCUUUAAUUGGGCUACCCCCUUAAAAAAAAGUCAACUAAGGGACCAAGAAAGGUAGCUUCCAUACUUUCCAGACAGGUUAACUAACAUUGAGAACCUCUGACAUUCCAAAGAACUUAUGUGCAAUAGAGCAAACAGGUAUCCUGAAAUUUUCUCGCGAUAUGAAAAACACCAGCGUAGUAAAAUGGACAUAACUCUUAUUCUGUGAAUCCAAUAGAGUUGUGGUUUAUACCGUUAGAAAACUUAUGAAAUUCCCAGCAACUUUCCUGUAGAAGACCUCCUUAGGUUCUGUCUUUAAGCUCAGGUAAAAAACAACCAAACUUAAUAUCCAUCCUGAAAAUGUCUCAGCAAAGGUGCAGCAGCUUCCAGAAGUUAUAUCCCGAGCUACUUAACUCAUCUGGAGAUGAUCCUUACAUAUUUGAAAAGCUUAGAAAAUCCUCUACAACUUUCGUAUACAACUUUUUCCUAGAUUCUGAUGUUAAGGUAUCUGAAAAUAGGGAAUACCAGAUCUGUCUAGAUUUUGAAACGGAACAGAAACAUCCAGGUGUAAAUAUCAUAUCUCAGGUUCUACUUAUCCAAAUAAGUUCCAGCUUAUACCGUUGGAAAGCUUAGCAAAUUCUCUACAACUUUUCUAUAGAACACUUUUCCAAAUUCUAUAGUUAUAUAUGUCUAAACAGUAAGCAACCGAAACUGGUCCAGAUUCUUGACAGCAUAUUUGUAUCAUCUUGUGAUUUUUGUAACUUCUAAACCAUAAUAGCUAUGAGGGUGCUUCUUGCGGUCAGGGAAAGAUCUUGAAGUCUAGUUGUUACCAGAAAAAGUUGAUAGACUUUGCACGAUCAAAACUUGAGAUACUCCAGAAUCAUCGUAGACUGCUCCAGAAAUCAGCAGGGGAUAGAAACAAGAUAUAACCAAACCCAACUACUUAUUUCAUUAAUCCUUACGCCUUAGGCCUAUAAACUAAUGAAAUUGUGAAGAAAUCCCACAAGAUCAUUGCACUCAUUACAAAGAUCCAAAUCAAGCAUAAGCAUAAUGACAAACCAACAAGGCAUUAAAGUUUCAUACUUCAAACAUUGACUCAACUUGCGAUACUAUCGUUCUCUUCCUGUUAAGGGUAAAGAUCCUAAAACUUAUAUUUCAAAGACGCAAGAAGGUGGUAAGAAAAGGUUCUAAAAGCAUACCAAAUCAAGGAGUGAAGGUGAGAACAAGUACUUUUAAAACAAGCAACAAGGUAGAGACAAAUAGCAAGGAUAGAGAUAUAGUAUGGAUGAAAAUACCAAGGUUUAUAGAGCAAGGAUUUUAUGACAAUUCCAAAACUUUAAGACGACCAAUUUCUAACUAGGCUUGCGUCCUACAGUCAGCAUUGCUUUGAUACCACUUUGUAAUACCCGAUUUUAAGGACAAAACCAGAUAUACACUAUAUAUGAGUUUUGGAAAUCAAUUCUCAUAUAUAGCUACAAAUAAGGGGUAAUAUCAAAAGACAAUGCAUAAAUGUAUAACGUACUUAGUAUAAAAGAGAUAACCUUUGAUAACAAACAGCGGAUAGACAACUCCAAACUUCGGGUAUUAACUUCUCUCUACAGGAUCCAACUGACUGGUUGAUCACAAGCCUAAACUUCUCCUGAGGUUUGGGGGAAAUAGCAAGAGUGAGUCCAUGUCGAACUCCACAAGUAUAGCAACUAGAUUGUAUAGCUCCCACAAUCUCAUGAUCAAUGUGACAUAAAUAAUGUAAAGCAUUAAAUAAUAAAUAAUGAGCAUAUUAACACACAAGAAUCAUCAUCGUCGCAGCAAGAAUCCCCAAGGCCGCUCCUGACCGUGAGCUCGGCUAGUAUACUAGUUUUUAACCCUCUGCAGAGGUUGCACAUCUUUACCCAUGAGUCAUGAUUUACCCUUUCGCCCGAGGUGAUCAGCCUCUUAACCCACUUCCAAGGAAGGUCGGCAGGGAUCACUAUGAAGCCUUUCAAAAGUUCGUCUAACAUGUUAGGGCCGCAAGGUUUCCUUUGCGAGCAGAUAUAGAUACCCCCCUUCCGAAUGGCACAAUGACGCGCAGCCUAUACACAUAGGGACAGGGGCUCGCACUAUACCCGUGUCGGUUCAGCCCCUCCGCCCUUUCGGGUAACCUCUAACAAGCUAGAAAAGUUCUUCAUACUGAGCUAAAGCCAGAGCCAUUAUAGCCCUCAUGGUUGCACUGUUGUCCCGGUUAUCACUUACAGAUAAAUCAUCAAGUGGCUAAAAAGUCAUUUUUAUCAUUUAUUACUUAACAUUAAUCUAGUCACACGAUCAUGGUCACAGAAUAUAAAAUCCAAAUGCUAUACUUGCCUUAAUCCAAUUGCUCUUGUUGUUCUUGCUAGUUGUCCAAAUGCUGAUCUUGAUCACUGAAGCACUCUUAUUCACCACGAAUUGUUCACCAUCUAUUCUCGAUCAUCGAUCAUCAACACACAAACAAUCGAAACCAAACAUACAUGAAGCAAACAAAGCUACAAUUAGAACAGACACCAAACAAUAGCAAAAUAGUAAGAAACGUUUAUAAAAUGGUUUUACGCGUCACUACGAUCACAAAAACGUGAGAAGCACUCUAAUUGGAGCUACGACGAAAGAGAAAUGACUAUUUUAAAAUUUACAUGCUUCGUUGAUUUCAAUAGUUAUAUAAAAUAUCUAUAAGAUACUUUAGAGAAAUACCUAGAUUAAAUUAAAUUAAAUUAAAUUAAAUUAUAUUUGAAUUAGAAAAUCAAGUUAAAACUAAUAAUAUUUUAUUUAUAAAUGUGGUUGUAUAAAUUAAGCAAAUUAAUCUCUAAUUUUAUAAAAAGAAGUAACGUGUGGAAAUCUAUUGGAAUUGUGUAUGAUCAUGUUCAAGCUAAGUAAUUAAGGUUGAGAAACAUGAUUAUGUUAGUAACUAAUUAUAUUAAUGAUUACCAAAGUUCGACACCUAUAUGGCUUUUAGUUAUAAAACUAUAGUUGUAUGCAUAUUAAUCAAAUUAAUAUUUAAUUAUAAGUAUUCGGCAUGGGAACCUUUGCUUCUAGAUAGAAGAUUACAUUACUAAGCUUACAAACUUAUCAUCCUUGGCACUUGCUAACGUGUAUUAUUGGCAUUCAUGCACGUACGGUGCUAUUCGCUUGAAGGUUUGCAUCUGUUGUAGGAGGAAAAUAAAAGACGAAAAGCAAAGCAGGCGGCUUGCCAGAAACAGCAGGUCAGCUGCAGCUAUGGCCAACUGUCACACAAACACGGUCAGCGGUUCUAUCCACGGCAGAAGGCAUCGUAGGGAGGGAGGAGUAGGCAGCCUAUGACGUAUUGGAGAGAGCUGGCUGCUGGAGGUUGGGUCGUCUAACAACAAGAUCAGUGAUAACGCCGAGCUAGAACUAAGAAACGGAAUUACGAAGACAGAAAGUUCCUCACCGGGCAGGGAUAGAAGGGGUGGAUCGCUGGUGACGGCGAGAGAAAAAAAAAACAACGACGUCGGGUCUUCACGUGGAGAAAAGUAGAUUAGGCUUUCUGUAGCCACGGAAGCGCCGGUUGAUUCCGAGAAGACGAACAAUGGCAACUCGUACCGCACGGCCAUCAACGCCAUAUAUGAAGACUUCUUAUACGAGGACUUCUCCAGGGUAGUUUUGGUAUGCUUAACUCAAGGAAUUGGUACGUAUAUAUAGGGAGAAAAACUCCUCACCUCCAUGUCACUAGCGAUAUGGUACUAAUCAAUGUUACACACUUCAUCUUUAUUAGUAGGCCUAGUUAAUUAUUAAAGCCCUCUAGUAAAUAAAUAUAUGGGCCUAUGAGAUCAUGGGUUGAGCGUUGGGGUAAAAUGAAAGAUUUAUUAAUUUCGAAAUUAAUUAUUUUUGUAAAUAAAAUAUUUCUAGAAAUGUCUAGAAUUAUUAUUUAAGUCAUGAAAAAUAUUUCGAAAGCUCUGAAAAUUCGAAGAAAAUUCUCAGAGACACUAUGAAACAUGAGACACUCAAAUAAAGUAUUUGAAACUCAUGAUAAGAUUAUUUGGAGCAUCUCAAAAUUAGAUUAUGCUCACAGUCAAAUGGGAACAAGUUCCAGAAAAGUGCUGAAAUAAUUCCUGGUAAGUUUUUAGAGAUUGAUUGAUGGACGAGGAACUAAAAGAAGUGCUUUGAGUGAUAAAGAAAAUAUUUUAGGAAGGUCCUAAUAAAAAUUUGAGCUUAGAAACAAGGAAUUUGGUUGUAGAUAAAAGAUAAAUAUGUGCCGAAUAAGGAAGAUCGAUCUACUAAACGUAUUUUAAAUAUUUUUCUUACUAUCAACACAUAAAGGAGCAACAAGCAUCACAUCAAAACAUAUGCACCAGCAUGUAUGCAUAAUAAUAUUGCUAAGCCUUAUGAUAAUUUUUAAUUUAAUGAAAAAUAUUAUUUUUCCUAUAUUUUCAUGAGCACAAAAAUACAAAUUAAAUAAUUUUAUCUAUAUUUCAAAAGGAGUAAAUUUUAGGGUGUUACAAUGUAUCAUGAAAUGCGUUAUGUUUCAUCAAAUGUUCAAAUAUAGAUACGACCAUGCAUAGCCAUGGUUUUAAUUAAUAUAAGAAUUGUUUACUAUUUGCAAUUUUAUAAGUUCCAUAUAUUUCCUUCUGGCCUUUGUAUAUGUAUCAUUAUCAAUGCACUAUUGUUUCAUCAAAUGUUCAGAUAGAUAUACGACGAUACAAAACUCUGUAGCAACGCACUAGGUAUUAUCUAGUUGUUUUUAAUUUACUACUACUGUGGAAUCUUGAAAGCAACUUCUUGUAGUUGCGUGUUGCAUGCCGGCCAGUUUCCAGCACCAUUGCCAGUUCAGUUUUGGAAAUUGGCCAGUCCACAGUCUUAUAUAUACCUAUGGGGACGCUAUUGGUUACUGUAUGUUUUCUUUUUCUGGCUUGUCACUUUUUCCUGAUAAGAAAAAACCUUGACUCUUAACCAGACUACUAACUCGACUACCUGGGGAUCAAAAGGAAACAACCCUCAACCUUCCAAGCAACAACAGAGUUUUAGAAAGGACAAAACAUUGCCGAGAUCAGAUUGAUCAUCUAGUCACGACGCUUUCUUGCUAGUCACUCGGUACACACAUUAUGUUUGUGUAGAGUAAUACAGUAUACUGGAACAAAAUACAUAAGCAUGUAACCAACAAAAAGAAUCAUCUUAUUGAGUUCGAAUCAAACAGUUGCUUGGGUUACACUGCUUAAUUUUUGCAGCAGCAUUCCCAUUUAGCAUCCGGUCUCUCGAUACAGUAGCUUUUCUUGCGUUUAAAGCCGUUUGCCUCGCACAUGUUCUCGCAGUCAUAAGUCAGACAGAAUCUGUUAUUGUAAGGGUAGCACGUAUCGGGCUUUCCCUUUGCCAUUGGAGACGACAACUCAGACAAACUACAUGGUUGAGAUGACAGUGCCGGCGGUGGCGGUUCCGGUGACCAAUGGUGAUGAUGGUGUGACAUCUCAGACAAACGGCGUGGUGGUGACAACGGCACAGAUGGUGGAGGUGGUAACCCGUGGUGAUGAUGGUGGUGCGUUGUCUCAAACAAGCCGCGUGGUGGUGAUGAUGGCGCUGGUGGUGUUGGUGGCGACUUGUGGUGAUGAUGGUGCGACAUCUCAGACAAACUGCGUGUUGGUGACAACGACACUGCCGGCGGUGGUGGUGACUUAUGGUGAUGCUGGUGUGGCACCUCAAGCAAACUGCGUGGUGGGGAUAAUGGCACUGGCGGAGGCGGAGGUGACGCGUGAUGAUGAUGGUGGGACUUCUCUGACAAACUGCGUGGUGGUGAUGUACGUGGUGGUGGCGGUGUCAUAGGCCUGUGGGGAUGAUG